rnacentral:rRNA from 1 species
GGGUUGUGAGGUUAAGCGACUAAGCGUACACGGUGGAUGCCCUGGCAGUCAGAGGCGAUGAAGGACGUGCUAAUCUGCGAUAAGCGUCGGUAAGGUGAUAUGAACCGUUAUAACCGGCGAUUUCCGAAUGGGGAAACCCAGUGUGUUUCGACACACUAUCAUUAACUGAAUCCAUAGGUUAAUGAGGCGAACCGGGGGAACUGAAACAUCUAAGUACCCCGAGGAAAAGAAAUCAACCGAGAUUCCCCCAGUAGCGGCGAGCGAACGGGGAGCAGCCCAGAGCCUGAAUCAGUGUGUGUGUUAGUGGAAGCGUCUGGAAAGGCGCGCGAUACAGGGUGACAGCCCCGUACACAAAAAUGCACAUGCUGUGAGCUCGAUGAGUAGGGCGGGACACGUGGUAUCCUGUCUGAAUAUGGGGGGACCAUCCUCCAAGGCUAAAUACUCCUGACUGACCGAUAGUGAACCAGUACCGUGAGGGAAAGGCGAAAAGAACCCCGGCGAGGGGAGUGAAAAAGAACCUGAAACCGUGUACGUACAAGCAGUGGGAGCACGCUUAGGCGUGUGACUGCGUACCUUUUGUAUAAUGGGUCAGCGACUUAUAUUCUGUAGCAAGGUUAACCGAAUAGGGGAGCCGAAGGGAAACCGAGUCUUAACUGGGCGUUAAGUUGCAGGGUAUAGACCCGAAACCCGGUGAUCUAGCCAUGGGCAGGUUGAAGGUUGGGUAACACUAACUGGAGGACCGAACCGACUAAUGUUGAAAAAUUAGCGGAUGACUUGUGGCUGGGGGUGAAAGGCCAAUCAAACCGGGAGAUAGCUGGUUCUCCCCGAAAGCUAUUUAGGUAGCGCCUCGUGAAUUCAUCUCUGGGGGUAGAGCACUGUUUCGGCAAGGGGGUCAUCCCGACUUACCAACCCGAUGCAAACUGCGAAUACCGGAGAAUGUUAUCACGGGAGACACACGGCGGGUGCUAACGUCCGUCGUGAAGAGGGAAACAACCCAGACCGCCAGCUAAGGUCCCAAAGUCAUGGUUAAGUGGGAAACGAUGUGGGAAGGCCCAGACAGCCAGGAUGUUGGCUUAGAAGCAGCCAUCAUUUAAAGAAAGCGUAAUAGCUCACUGGUCGAGUCGGCCUGCGCGGAAGAUGUAACGGGGCUAAACCAUGCACCGAAGCUGCGGCAGCGACGCUUAUGCGUUGUUGGGUAGGGGAGCGUUCUGUAAGCCUGCGAAGGUGUGCUGUGAGGCAUGCUGGAGGUAUCAGAAGUGCGAAUGCUGACAUAAGUAACGAUAAAGCGGGUGAAAAGCCCGCUCGCCGGAAGACCAAGGGUUCCUGUCCAACGUUAAUCGGGGCAGGGUGAGUCGACCCCUAAGGCGAGGCCGAAAGGCGUAGUCGAUGGGAAACAGGUUAAUAUUCCUGUACUUGGUGUUACUGCGAAGGGGGGACGGAGAAGGCUAUGUUGGCCGGGCGACGGUUGUCCCGGUUUAAGCGUGUAGGCUGGUUUUCCAGGCAAAUCCGGAAAAUCAAGGCUGAGGCGUGAUGACGAGGCACUACGGUGCUGAAGCAACAAAUGCCCUGCUUCCAGGAAAAGCCUCUAAGCAUCAGGUAACAUCAAAUCGUACCCCAAACCGACACAGGUGGUCAGGUAGAGAAUACCAAGGCGCUUGAGAGAACUCGGGUGAAGGAACUAGGCAAAAUGGUGCCGUAACUUCGGGAGAAGGCACGCUGAUAUGUAGGUGAAGUCCCUUGCGGAUGGAGCUGAAAUCAGUCGAAGAUACCAGCUGGCUGCAACUGUUUAUUAAAAACACAGCACUGUGCAAACACGAAAGUGGACGUAUACGGUGUGACGCCUGCCCGGUGCCGGAAGGUUAAUUGAUGGGGUCAGCGCAAGCGAAGCUCUUGAUCGAAGCCCCGGUAAACGGCGGCCGUAACUAUAACGGUCCUAAGGUAGCGAAAUUCCUUGUCGGGUAAGUUCCGACCUGCACGAAUGGCGUAAUGAUGGCCAGGCUGUCUCCACCCGAGACUCAGUGAAAUUGAACUCGCUGUGAAGAUGCAGUGUACCCGCGGCAAGACGGAAAGACCCCGUGAACCUUUACUAUAGCUUGACACUGAACAUUGAGCCUUGAUGUGUAGGAUAGGUGGGAGGCUUUGAAGUGUGGACGCCAGUCUGCAUGGAGCCGACCUUGAAAUACCACCCUUUAAUGUUUGAUGUUCUAACGUUGACCCGUAAUCCGGGUUGCGGACAGUGUCUGGUGGGUAGUUUGACUGGGGCGGUCUCCUCCUAAAGAGUAACGGAGGAGCACGAAGGUUGGCUAAUCCUGGUCGGACAUCAGGAGGUUAGUGCAAUGGCAUAAGCCAGCUUGACUGCGAGCGUGACGGCGCGAGCAGGUGCGAAAGCAGGUCAUAGUGAUCCGGUGGUUCUGAAUGGAAGGGCCAUCGCUCAACGGAUAAAAGGUACUCCGGGGAUAACAGGCUGAUACCGCCCAAGAGUUCAUAUCGACGGCGGUGUUUGGCACCUCGAUGUCGGCUCAUCACAUCCUGGGGCUGAAGUAGGUCCCAAGGGUAUGGCUGUUCGCCAUUUAAAGUGGUACGCGAGCUGGGUUUAGAACGUCGUGAGACAGUUCGGUCCCUAUCUGCCGUGGGCGCUGGAGAAUUGAGGGGGGCUGCUCCUAGUACGAGAGGACCGGAGUGGACGCAUCACUGGUGUUCGGGUUGUCAUGCCAAUGGCACUGCCCGGUAGCUAAAUGCGGAAGAGAUAAGUGCUGAAAGCAUCUAAGCACGAAACUUGCCCCGAGAUGAGUUCUCCCUGACUCCUUGAGAGUCCUGAAGGAACGUUGAAGACGACGACGUUGAUAGGCCGGGUGUGUAAGCGCAGCGAUGCGUUGAGCUAACCGGUACUAAUGAACCGUGAGGCUUAACCUUACAACGCCGAAGGUGUUU